GUUGGAUUAAAUGAGGCUAAAAAAAAAAAAAAAUCAAAUGCACGUUUGGUUACAGAAGUCAGUACAGAAUAUGCCUACUAUUAAGCUUAAAGGUCAUAUUUACAACUCCUAAGCUGGCUUGGAAAGGAUAAUAUUAUUCAUGUACAACUUAUAGUAUCAUUGCUUAAUCUGCACAAGUUGGGUAAUACUAAUAUGGGUUUUGUUUAUCCUGCCUAAUGCAUAACAAAACAAAUCUAUGCUACAAAUAAUAAUGAGCUAACAAUGUUUAAUAAUGUCUCUCUUCUUCAUUCUGUAUUUUCCUUCCACUCUUUUUAACUUCGUUUUGAGUAACAAAUUGUUGCAAUUUCGCCCAGCUUCGAGUUCAAUAAUGAAAUCAUACCUGAGCAUUUUCUGUUCUAUGUUUUUGGAGUUCGUCUUGAGCACAUACUAGCCUCCACUGCAACUCCGUUAUUUCAUGAAGUAACUCUUUCUCCCUGUCAUGUGCAGCUUCUAGCAAAGAUCUCUCUGUGGAACCUAAUUGUGCCAGUGUGGAUCCUCCAUCAGUGGCGCGGUUGGCUGAAUUGUCGCAACCACAAACUUGCUUCAUUAGAGUAAGAAUAGUAUCCCUCUGAAGAAUAUUUGUCUGCAAAACUGAAUUCAACAGUGGAAACAGAGAAUGACCAGAAAGAGUUGAUGACACAGCAUCAGAAGAUGAUGGUAUAGACAUUAUAGGAUGUUGGUGAAGCACCUGCAUACUAUGACUCUUUUGCAAUAUAGGAAGUGCAACUGCCUUUUCUAUACCAACAUUCUCCGAAGUCACUUUGAAACGUCCCCUUUGCUGAACAACUGGUGGUUUUGCUUUCUCAUCAAGUUCAUCACUGUUAGGUGCUGAUAAUUUAGAUGCUUUAGGAGGAUUUUCAGAAAGUACAUCCUCACCUUCUGGACUGGAAUUAUUUUGUGGUUGAUUUUGCAACUUAUCACUUUCUCCUUUAUUAGGAGGAAAUAAAUUUUCUGGUAAAGUAGAGCCACCUAAACCUCCUGAUUUUUGUUGAGAAGGUAUGCCCUCCAUUGAUCUUCCAUUGAUCUCAAAAAUAGAUUUUUCGGACACAUUGUUUUCCACACUAUCAUCAGGUGGUGAAGAAAUAUGUGAAACGUAUUGUUCAUCAUGUGGACGUGCAAUACUGGAGUCAUCAUCAGAUUUUUCACUUCUAACUCUGGAAAACAAAUUAUUAGUUUUUUUAGAUCUGAGUCAACGUAAUCAGAAGCACUUCCCAUUAACAAUUAAUUAAUACAUCAUUCCUAUAUCCAAGUAUAGCUUUGACCUUGCAGAAGCACUCAUCUUCUAUAUUAUGAUUACUUCCUAUGAGCGAAUUAACAAUGAACUAAAAGGAAAAGAUUGGUUCAGAAGAUACUUGGCAAUAUUUACAGAUGAGUUGACUGAUGGAACAGGAUUGGGUUGAUUUUGUAUUGGAUCAUUAUCAUCCACUUCUGCAAUUUGUCCCAAGGAUGAGUGCUGAGACUCUAAUUGCUUUUCAAGUGUAUCAACUGUAGGCAAUGUACUUGAGAUUCCUCCCAGAUUAUUAUCAGCUAUAGGGUCCUCAACAUCUUGUAUCAGGGAAGCUUGAGCCUUCAUAUCUUCUAGAUUGAAGUUCCAACCACUAAUUCCUCGUUUAUAUUCAUUCUGAGAUAUUUCCUCUUUCUGUCCAUCUGGUAUCUUCUUUUGUGCAAGCAUAUCCUCUUCUUUUCUCUUCAAUGCCUUAAUACGAUCACCAAGAGCAGGCAAUCCUUCCAAAAGUGUCCUUGAUAUGUAGUCAUUUGACCUAGCUUGCUUAAAAAAGGAAUGCUUUAACAACUUCUUUGCAGAUGGCCUUUUCGAAGGAUCUUUUACCAAGCAACUAGCAAUCAUCUGCUUAAAAGACUUAGAGAAUUUAUUAUCCCUUUCGUAAUCUAGGCCGGGAGGUGCAUUUUGCAAAGUCAUUAGCAAUACCUUCAUUGGAGGAUAUUUUGAGAAUGGAGCAUGCCCAUGAGCAAGCUCUAAAGCAGUUAUCCCAAAUGACCAAAUAUCAGCCUUGAAAUCAUAUCCAUGCAACUGCUCCAUGACCUCAGGUGCCAUCCAGCAAGGUGUCCCCACAAAUGUAUUCCUCAUGCGUUGCCUAUCACCUGAAUCAAAAAGGCAAGCAGAAACACCAAAAUCUCCCAACUUGAUUGCACCACGUGGAUCAAUGAGAAUGUUUCCCGCUUUAACAUCUCGAUGUAUGUGACCAUGAUGGUGAAGAUACUCCAAGCCCUUCAACACCUCUCGUAGUAUUGUUGCUAUCACUGCCUCUUCAAAACCAUCUGGAUAAGCAGCUUUCAAUAUGUGAAGACAAGAACCCCCAGCCAUGAAUGGCAUGACAACCCACAGAUUAUGAUCACUAACAAAGGAGCAGUGUGAUUUGAGAACAUUUGGAUGGUCAACCAAGAUCAUUGUUUGUACUUCACGAGAAAUGUUACUCAGAUCACAAUUAUCGCGUUCAAAGUCAAGAAUCUUGAUUGCAACAAUCUCAUCAAAGGGAAUACACAAAGCCCGAUGCACUGAAGCACUCACACCUUGCCCAACCUCCUCAUACAGAACGUAAAACUCCGGCCCAAUCGGAUACUUCUUCUUCUCCAUUAUUUUCAACCAAAAAAAAAAGGAAAAAAAAAUCACAAUCUACCGCAGCAACCUCAAAAUCUGAAGCUGAAAGAAGAUGAAGAGAUCCGAAACUCAGGCAAAUUACAUUCGAUCGUGGCUUUUAUCUGCAAUUAUAGUAUCCAUGAGCUGAAAAGAAAAGAAAUGAUUCACACAUGAAGGAGAAGAGAGAGGAGUGAAGAGAAAGGAAAGAAAAGCAGAGAGAGAGAGAGAGGAGGAAGCAUUGAUGAGGAAGACGUUGUUGAUGUUCCCCGUGAAAAUAUGAGAGAAAGCGGAGCUAUCGGAUAGCCGCUCAAAUUUUCCGCCAUGUUUGUG
rnacentral:misc_RNA from 1 species